UAUAAAGGUAAACGUUAAUUAGACCGAGGCUGCCGAAAUCAUGUUCAGUGUAACGUUAUGUGGGAUUAAUAAUUUCCCCUUUUCUCCCUCAAGUGGCAGGCUUGUAAAUUCUGUCAUCUGUUCAUUAUUGGUGUUGAUGGUGUUUUUCACAUGCAUGCUUUUUAAUGCUAGUUUAAUUCUCAAAUUGAUCUGAUACUUUCGUUUCACAAAAAGUAAACAAAUUGUUCACUUUCUUAGGGCCUGACAACCACCAGUUGAGUCCAUGAUUCAGGGAAGAGACAGUCUGGGCAGCAGCAACAAGACAACUAUUACAAGUAGAGAUGGGUUUCAAGAACUGGUACUAAUUUGGUUCCUGACUUGUUCGACACAACCACAUAUCCUCCAAAUCAUCUCUGCGUGGAUGGCAGCAAGGAUCCAGGAUCAAGAGAUCAUUCUUCAUGGAGACUGUUCCACAGGAAGCAGUUUCUCCUGGGUGAAAAACUAAACCUGGUUGUUUCAGCAUCACUCAG